GUGGUAGUAGCUCAACUGGCAGAGCAUCGGGUUGUGGUCCCGAAGGUUGUGGGUUCGAGCCCCAUCUACCACC
rnacentral:tRNA from 1 species